rnacentral:rRNA from 1 species
GUAGGUGGCAAGCGUUGUCCGGAAUUAUUGGGCGUAAAGCGCGCGCAGGUGGUUCUUUAAGUCUGAUGUGAAAGCCCCCGGCUCAACCGGGGAGGGUCAUUGGAGACUGGGGAACUUGAGUGCAGGAGAGGAAAGUGGAAUUCCACGUGUAGCGGUGAAAUGCGUAGAUAUGUGGAGGAACACCAGUGGCGAAGGCGACUUUCUGGCCUGUAACUGACACUGGGGCGCGAAAGCGUGGGGAGCAAACAGGGAUUAGAUACCCUGGUAGUCCACGCCGUAAACGAUGAGAGCUAAGUGUUGGGGGGGUUUCCCGCCCCUCAGUGCUGCAGCUAACGCAUUAAGCACUCCGCCUGGGGAGUACGGUCGCAAGACUG